UGCAGACUCCAGUGCUCAGAGCAGCAGGAUGGCACUUGGUGUCUGGAUGCCUUUGGAGUUGCACAUACAGCUUCUUUAUGAAAGGAAGAAACUGGAAGACAACAAAGGUUCUCCUCCUGUUGCCAAGGCCCAGGCUACUGUCGGGGCAAGAGCACACAUAGGGUUUGAAACCUUCCAGAACAAAAUGCCAGUCUACCUGUGCCUGUCUGGAAUCUAAGGCCUAAGCCAUCACUGCACCUGACGACAAGGACCUGCAGAGCUGCAGGCUGCAUCUUGGGGCUUCUCUGAGGACUCCUGUUUCCACCAAUAUCUACCUGUUGUGGUCCUCACUUUCACAGCCACAUGAAAAUGGACGUUUUGACAAUGGCUCACAGAUUCCUGGAGAUGUCUGGGAGGAAGCAGGAAGAAGCAAGAAGUCAUCAAAACUUGAAAAACCCUGAAUCAGUCAACAGAUAUCCAACAGAAAACGUGGGAGAAGAGGGAUAUGAAGCCAGCAGCUAACACUGGGAAAGUUCAGAUCAUCUCUAAUAAUAGAUCUUUAUAAACAACGAGUGG
rnacentral:sRNA from 1 species